AAGUCGUAACAAGGUUUCCGUAGGUGAACCUGCGGAAGGAUCAUUUCCAAAAAAUCAAGCAUUGCCUUAUUAUAUACACCUUUUGGUGUGUGAACAGUUGGUUUAGAAAAAUCAUUCUUACUCUCGAAAGGGCGCGAUAACAUCUCGAAUGGUAUCGGCUUGAUGUAGAGAGGCCUUGAUGAACCCACAUCCUUUUUGUUUAUAUUGCGAGUGCAAACUCCAAUAUCUACAAAGGGACGUUAACAUAAAGUCAACACUAUAUUUCUAAGUCAAAAAGACUCGUGCCUGCUACAUCUCGUAUGUACAGUACAAGUCAAUUUACUCUAGUAAAUAUACGACAACUUUUAACGGUGGAUCUCUUGGCUCGU
rnacentral:misc_RNA from 1 species